UUGAUGUGAAUGCAAAAUAAUAUAUAUUUCAAGUCAUAAUUUAUCUGAGAGUAAUGAAAUACAUUUCUAUUAUUUAGUUUCGAGAAGGAAACAACUUUUCUCUUCCAAUCAGCUUAUUAGAACCAAGAUCUUCUCUUGAUAAAUUUGCUGAUAGUUUCCUUCAUAUUGAUAUUCUCAGCGAAGCUGCUAUAGAAAAAGACCCAUUGACAAGAAUGAAAUUAGUUGUUAAAUGGUAUUUGUCAGGAUUUUAUCUCCAAUCAAAAAGUCUUAAAAAGCCAUAUAUUCCAAAAAUGGGUGAAGCAUUUCGAUGCUUUUGGUACCAUCCAAAAACAGAUAGUAAGACAUUUUUUUUAGCAGAACAGAUAUCUGAUAAACCUCAAGAAGUUGCCAUUCAUAUUAUCAA